rnacentral:misc_RNA from 1 species
UGAUAAUGCCAAGGUAAUUCUUCAUUUUACAGCUCAACUCUCUGCUAAUUGUGUCUAAUAAAUACUGGAAGGAGAACAUUUAAACUAAUACUGACUGUGUUACAAAAGGAUCUUAAAGUUUCAUACUUCAUGUUCAAACAACAAGUAUACAAUGCCUUCGAUUAAAUACAUAGGCAGGCGGUUACAAAGGCUCUUGUGACUAAAGCUGAUCAAGCAUAAGACAUCAUCUUGGACGUUUGGCGCCAAGGGGAAAGGAUACUCGUUGAGGAGUACCUUGAGGUAAGUCUGUCUUUUCAUGAGAAAGAGUUGGAUUUUUGCUUGGAGCUGGGUUGGGAUCAGCGCUUUCUUCGUCCUCCUCUGUUUCUUCUGGUUGGUUAGUUUGCUUCUUUGCAAUAGCUAGCUGAUAGUUAGGGUUGAUCAGUGUAUCUUGUUCAGGAGGGAGUGGUACUCCAGACCCAGCAAUUGAUUUCGGCAAUGGAAUCUUGUUUCUGUUCCUAGCCAACUCCAGUAGGACCUCACGCGGCGGGGGUUGUGAGAAGCUGAAAUUAACUUUUGACUGAAUGGCAAGCUUGAUGUCAUCAGAGUCAAUGGAAGCCUUCCCUGCAUGCUCUGAGUAGACUUGAGCAUCCGUCAGUACAUCAACAACAUAGCGAUACCACAAUUCCAAAAAUUGAUGCACAACUCGAGGCUCGUAGUCAUCAACACCCAUUGAUUUUAGCAGCGUUUUGACAAUCUUUGCAUCCCUUGGCAAGUCCUCUUCUCCACCUUCAGCCAUUUCUUUCAAGGUUCAACCGAAGAUUCACCACAAUUCGAGCAAUAGGCAAAGAUUAAACGAAGAACCAAAAAGCACUGAGA